AGUGAACGCUGGCGGCGUGCUUAACACAUGCAAGUCGAACGAGAACGGGAUAUAGCUUGCUAUAUUUGUCAGCUAAGUGGCGCACGGGUGAGUAAUGUAUAGAUAACCUGCCCUCUAGAAAGGAAUAACAGUUGGAAACGACUGCUAAUGCCCUAUAUGCCUUUAAUACAUAAGUAUGCAAGGGAAACGCUUUAGUGCUAGAGGAUGGGUCUGUAUGGUAUCAGCUUGUUAGUGAGGUAAUGGCUCACCAAGGCUAUGACGCCUAACUGGUUUGAGAGGAUGAUCAGUCACACUGGAACUGAGACACGGUGCAGACUCCUACGGGAGGCAGCAGUGGGGAAUAUUGCACAAUGGACGAAAGUCUGAUGCAGCAACGCCGCGUGGAGGAUGACACAUUUCGGUGCGUAAACUCCUUUUAUAGAGGAAGAUAAUGACGGUACUAUAUGAAUAAGCACCGGCUAACUCCGUGCCAGCCGCCGCCGUAA
rnacentral:rRNA from 1 species